AGAGUUUGAUCCUGGCUCAGGACGAACGCUGGCGGCACGCUUAACACAUGCAAGUCGAACGAGAGAAGAGGAGCUUGCUUUUCUGAUCUAGUGGCGGACGGGUGAGUAACACGUGAGCAAUCUGCCUUUCAGAGGGGGAUACCGAUUGGAAACGAUCGUUAAUACCGCAUAACAUAAUUGAACCGCAUGAUUUGAUUAUCAAAGAUUUAUCGCUGAAAGAUGAGCUCGCGUCUGAUUAGCUAGUUGGUAAGGUAACGGCUUACCAAGGCGACGAUCAGUAGCCGGACUGAGAGGUUGAUCGGCCACAUUGGGACUGAGACACGGCCCAGACUCCUACGGGAGGCAGCAGUGGGGAAUAUUGCACAAUGGAGGAAACUCUGAUGCAGCGGUGCCGCGUGAGGGAAGAAGGUUUUAGGAUUGUAAACCUCUGUCUUCAGGGACGAAAAAAGACGGUACCUGAGGAGGAAGCUCCGGCUAACUACGUGCCAGCAGCCGCGGUAAUACGUAGGGAGCGAGCGUUGUCCGGAAUUACUGGGUGUAAAGGGAGCGUAGGCGGGAUCGCAAGUCAGAUGUGAAAACUAUGGGCUUAACCCAUAAACUGCAUUUGAAACUGUGGUUCUUGAGUGAAGUAGAGGUAAGCGGAAUUCCUAGUGUAGCGGUGAAAUGCGUAGAUAUUAGGAGGAACAUCAGUGGCGAAGGCGGCUUACUGGGCUUUAACUGACGCUGAGGCUCGAAAGCGUGGGGAGCAAACAGGAUUAGAUACCCUGGUAGUCCACGCCGUAAACGAUGAUUACUAGGUGUGGGGGGACUGACCCCUUCCGUGCCGCAGCAAACGCAAUAAGUAAUCCACCUGGGGAGUACGACCGCAAGGUUGAGGCUCAAAGGAAUUGACGGGGGCCCGCACAAGCAGUGGAGUAUGUGGAUUAAUUCGAAGCAACGCGAAGAACCUUACCAGGUCUUGACAUCGUAUGCAUAGCUCAGAGAUGAGUGAAAUCUCUUCGGAGACAUAUAGACAGGUGGUGCAUGGUUGUCGUCAGCUCGUGUCGUGAGAUGUUGGGUUAAGUCCCGCAACGAGCGCAACCCUUACUGUUAGUUGCUACGCAAGAGCACUCUAGCAGGACUGCCGUUGACAAAACGGAGGAAGGUGGGGAUGACGUCAAAUCAUCAUGCCCCUUAUGACCUGGGCCUCACACGUACUACAAUGGCUGUCAACAGAGGGAAGCAAAGCCGCGAGGUGGAGCGAACCCCUAAAAGCAGUCCUAGUUCGGAUUGUAGGCUGCAACCCGCCUACAUGAAGUCGGAAUUGCUAGUAAUCGCAGAUCAGCAUGCUGCGGUGAAUACGUUCCCGGGCCUUGUACACACCGCCCGUCACGCCAUGGGAGUCGGUAACACCCGAAGCCUGUAGUCUAACCGCAAGGAGGACGCAGUCGAAGGUGGGAUUGAUGACUGGGGUGAAGUCGUAACAAGGUA
rnacentral:rRNA from 1 species